UACGUAGGGUGCAAGCGUUGUCCGGAAUUAUUGGGCGUAAAGAGCUCGUAGGCGGCUCGUUGCGUCGGCUGUGAAAACCCGCAGCUCAACUGUGGGCCUGCAGCUGAUACGGGCGGGCUGGAGUUCGGUAGGGGAGACUGGAAUUCCUGGUGUAGCGGUGGAAUGCGCAGAUAUCAGGAGGAACACCGGUGGCGAAGGCGGGUCUCUGGGCAGUAACUGACGCUGAGGAGCGAAAGCGUGGGGAGCGAACAGG
rnacentral:rRNA from 1 species